AGCGAACGCUGGCGGCAGGCUUAACACAUGCAAGUCGAGCGGGCACUUCGGUGUCAGCGGCAGACGGGUGAGUAACACGUGGGAACGUACCCUUUGGUUCGGAAUAACGCUGGGAAACUAGCGCUAAUACCGGAUACGCCCUUUUGGGGAAAGGCUUGCUGCCGAAGGAUCGGCCCGCGUCUGAUUAGCUAGUUGGUGGGGUAAUGGCCUACCAAGGCGACGAUCAGUAGCUGGUCUGAGAGGAUGAUCAGCCACACUGGGACUGAGACACGGCCCAGACUCCUACGGGAGGCAGCAGUGGGGAAUAUUGGACAAUGGGCGCAAGCCUGAUCCAGCCAGGCCGCGUGAGUGAUGAAGGCCUUAGGGUUGUAAAGCUCUUUUGUCCGGGACGAUAAGGACGGUACCGGAAGAAUAAGCCCCGGCUAACUUCGU
rnacentral:rRNA from 1 species